AUUGAACGCUGGCGGCAUGCCUUACACAUGCAAGUCGAACGGCAGCACGGACUUCGGUCUGGUGGCGAGUGGCGAACGGGUGGGUAAUGUAUCGGAACGUACCUUACCGUGGGGGAUAACGUAGCGAAAGUUACGCAAAUACCGCAUAUUCUGUGAGCAGGAAAGCAGGGGAUCGAAAGACCUUGCGCUUAGUGAGCGGCCGAUAUGAGAAUAGCUAGUUGGUGGGGUAACGGGCUAACGAGGCGACGAUGUGUAGCGGGUCUGAGAGGAUGAUCCGCCACACGGGAAGUGAGACACGGCCCAGACUCCUACGGUAGGCAGCAGUGCGGAAUCUUGGACAAUGGGGGCAAGCCGGAUCCAGCAAUGCCGCGUGAGUGAUGAAGGCCUUCGGGUUGUAAAGCGCUUACGGCCGGGAAGAAAUAGCAUAGGCUAAUACCCUGUGUGGAUGACGGUACCGGAAGAAGAAGCACCGGCUAACUACGUG
rnacentral:rRNA from 1 species